GAGCCCGCCCUACCAAGCCCGUGGCGCCGGAGGCGGAGUCGGGCUGCCCCGUGAGUGGAACGGGCGGGCUGAGGCAGCUGCCUCACUAUGGGCAGAGCCAUGGGACUGGUUGGAGGGCUCCUGGGGCUCGUCGUGAUCCCCGCCGUGCUGGUGAGCACCAGUCUCCGCCACGGCGCCCCGCGGACCGAGGCCGAGCCGGAGCCGUCCGGCUGGGAGCUGGCGGCAGACGCCGUCCCCGAGGACUCGCUGUGGCCGCUGCCGCAGUGGGUCCGCACGUACCCUCGCCAGCUGCAGCUAGCGCCCAGCCGCUUCCAGCUGGUGCAUGGCGCCGGCUCCUCGGCGGGGCCGGGCUGCGGGCUGCUGCAGGACGCCUUCCGCAGGUACUAUGAGUACAUGUUCGGGCAUUCCCGGCGGCGGAUGUGGAGCCGCCGGCCGCUGGCUGCCCGAGCGGAGCCCGAGCUGUUCCAGCUGCAGGUGGUGAUCGAGGCAGGGGACCCUGGCUGUGACAGGCACCCGCACCUCACCUCCAGCGAGGCCUACCAUUUAACUGUAACUGAGCCUGUGGCUAUACUGAAAGCUUCUGAGGUAUGGGGUGCUUUAAGAGGUUUGGAAACCUUCAGCCAGUUGGUUCAUGAAGAUGACUAUGGAAGCUUUCUUGUCAAUGAAUCUGAAAUCAAUGACUUCCCAAGAUUUGCUCAUAGAGGAGUCUUAUUAGAUACUUCAAGGCAUUAUUUACCUUUGAAAUCUAUUCUUACAAACCUGGAUGCCAUGGCUUUUAAUAAAUUCAAUGUUCUCCACUGGCAUAUAGUAGAUGAUCAGUCCUUCCCUUACCAGAGCAUUUAUUUCCCUGAAUUAAGUGAUAAGGGGGCAUACUCCUCUAAUCUCAUCUAUACUCCUACUGAUGUCCGUCUGGUGAUUGAGUAUGCCCGGUUAAGAGGCAUCAGAGUUAUCCCGGAGUUUGAUACGCCAGGACACACGCAGUCUUGGGGAAAAGGUCAAAAAGAUCUUCUCACUCCUUGUUACAAUGGAGGACAGCCAACUGGGUCCUUUGGACCCGUAAAUCCUGUUUGGAAUACAACUUAUGACUUCAUGACUAAGUUCUUUAAGGAGAUCAGCGGUGUAUUUCCAGAUGAAUUCAUUCAUUUGGGAGGAGAUGAAGUGGACUUCACUUGUUGGAAAUCUAACCCUGAGGUGAAAGAGUUCAUGAAGAAGCAAGGUUUUGGCAUUGACUAUGCUAAACUGGAAUCUUACUAUGUUCAGAACAUUUUGGACAUUGUUUCCUCCUACAACAAAGGACAAAUGGUCUGGCAAGAAGUGUUUGAUCACAAAGCACAACUGAAACCAGACACUGUAGUUCAAGUGUGGAUGGCAAAUAACUACACUCCUGAACUGAGCAGGGUCACGGGAGCUGGGUUCACUGCUGUCCUGUCAGCACCGUGGUACUUAGAUUACAUUAGUUAUGGGCAAGACUGGAAGAAAUACUACAGCGUUGAACCACUUAACUUCCCUGGAUCUGAAGAACAGAAGAAACUUUUAAUAGGUGGAGAAGCUUGCCUGUGGGGGGAAUUCGUGGAUGCAACUAACCUGACACCAAGAUUAUGGCCUCGAGCAAGUGCUGUUGGGGAAAGACUCUGGAGCAGCAGCAAUGUGACCAACUUGCAGGAUGCCUAUAAAAGGCUAACUAAUCAUCGAUGCCGCAUGCUCCGCCGUGGCAUAGCAGCUGAACCGGUGUUUGUUGGAUACUGUGCCCAUGAAGCAAGAGGGCCAUAACUGCUGCAAAGACUUCUUGUCAAGAGCCUGAAGUGCCUCAGGGGUACGAAUAUAUGUCCUCAAGAUAAAAAUUUACAAAGGAACAACUUGUGGUUGCAUCCCUGCUUUGCAAUCACGAGGUUAUGCCAGCAGAGCAGUCUCUUGAACCUUCCUCCCUGGACAGUUAAAAGCAAUCUUUUCAUACAGCUGUUAACUCAUUAUUUGCCAUCACCAGUUGGUCCCAGACAAAGACACUGGCGUACAUACAAAAAUAUUUGACAGGAGGAUAGAAAACACUGUUCCUAGAGAGUAAAGAUCACACCAGCCCCAUCCUCCUCUGAAGAAGUGCACUUUGCUCUUGACUGCUCAGGGCUUGAUAACUGGCAAGCUCCAAUGUGAAGGUUGCUGAACCCGAUGUUAGAGAACGCAAAACUGUUGAGUAGCCCUGGACAAAAUGGAGAAUACACAUCACUCAAGUUAGGAUAAGAGGAAGAUAAGUUAGCAUAAGAAGCUGCUUAGACCACAGAGAGAGAAAAAAAGAAUGUCAGAAGUAUACUGCAGUGUAGUAGUAAGUUAACUUUCCAAUAUUACCGCAUUAGAAUUGCAACACAUGCAUGAGUCAAUAGUAAUAUUUUUAAAAACCUGUUCUCCAUAAAACCUAUUUUAGUAGUAUUUACUAGUUCUCUAGCUUACAGCUGAAUACAUGCUGGUUUAGCAAUCUGAAUUUGGCAUAAAAAAGCUACUCAAUUUGUGGACACUUCCUUCUGACCUUCAAUAAUUAAAAUACAAUUUUAAAAAUACAUUCUAUAUUUAUUUAUCCAUAACUAAGGAAAAUUAAACUUAAGCCAAAUAUCUUAAAGCAUAUGAAAAAGAUCAGUUUUAUCAUUGGUAAGGUAAUCACAUACCAUCAUUUCUGCUAGUGGUACAGCAGCGACUACAACUCUGUUAUCUUGACGAGACUGGAUUUCCUGAAUAUUACCUCUCCGCUGUGCAAGAUCAGCAAGUGCUGCACUGAGAUGAUCUUCACUUACUGUGAUUUCUAAGUUCAUUAGGGGCUCCAGUAUUUGUAUACCAGCUUUUUUCAAAGCCUACAUGGAAAGGAAGGAAGUUACGCUGAUGUACUCCUAUGGGCUUUUUAAAAUAAAAUUGACUUGUAUCACUGAAGCUGACUCAAACUCUACUUGCAAAAGGUGUAAAUUCCCCAGCAAGGGCAUUACAAGGGCA